UACGUAGGGGGCGAGCGUUGUCCGGAUUUAUUGGGCGUAAAGAGCUCGUAGGCGGUUCGUCGCGUCGGCUGUGAAAUCCCGAGGCUCAACCUCGGGUCUGCAGUCGAUACGGGCGGACUGGAGUUCGGCAGGGGAGACUGGAAUUCCUGGUGUAGCGGUGAAAUGCGCAGAUAUCAGGAGGAACACCGGUGGCGAAGGCGGGUCUCUGGGCCGAUACUGACGCUGAGGAGCGAAAGCGUGGGGAGCGAACAGG
rnacentral:rRNA from 1 species